rnacentral:rRNA from 1 species
GUGAGGAAUAUUGGUCAAUGGACGAGAGUCUGAACCAGCCAAGUCGCGUGAAGGAAGACGGUUCUAUGAAUUGUAAACUUCUUUUGUGCAGGAAUAAAGUGGGUUACGUGUAACCUUUUGUAUGUACUGUACGAAUAAGGAUCGGCUAACUCCGUGCCAGCAGCCGCGGUAAUACGGAGGAUCCGAGCGUUAUCCGGAUUUAUUGGGUUUAAAGGGUGCGUAGGUGGAUUGAUAAGUCAGCGGUGAAAGUUUGCAGCUUAACUGUAAAAUUGCAGUUGGAACUGUCGGUCUUGAGUGCAAAUGAGGUAGGCGGAAUGUGUUGUGUAGCGGUGAAAUGCUUAGAUAUAACACAGAACUCCGAUUGCGAAGGCAGCUUACUGGGAUGCAACUGACACUGAUGCACGAAAGCGUGGGUAUCAAACAGGAUUAGAAACCCUUGUAGUCC